rnacentral:rRNA from 1 species
AUUGAACGCUGGCGGCAUGCCUUACACAUGCAAGUCGAACGGCAGCACGGGUGCUUGCACCUGGUGGCGAGUGGCGAACGGGUGAGUAAUAUAUCGGAACAUACCCUAGAGUGGGGGAUAACGUAGCGAAAGUUACGCUAAUACCGCAUACGAACUAAGGUUGAAAGUGGGGGAUCGCAAGACCUCAUGCCCAUGGAGUGGCCGAUAUCUGAUUAGCUAGUUGGUGAGGUAAAGGCUCACCAAGGCGACGAUCGGUAGCUGGUUUGAGAGAACGGACAGCAAAACGUGAACUUAGACACGGUGCAGACUCCUACGGGAGGCAUCAGUGGGGAAUUUUGGACAAGGGGGGAAAGCCUGAUCCAGCAAUGCCUCGUGAGUGAAGAAGGCCCUCGGGUUGUAAAGCUCUUUUGUCAGGGAAGAAACGGUCUACUCUAAUACAGUGGGCUAAUGACGGUACCUUACCAGAAAGCCACGGCUAACUACGUGCCAGCCGCCGCCGUAAUAC